UGCAUGUCUAAGUAUAAGCAAUUAUACAGCGAAACUGCGAAUGGCUCAUUAUAUAAGUUAUCGUUUAUUUGAUAGUACCUUACUACUUGGAUAACCGUGGUAAUUCUAGAGCUAAUACAUGCUAAAAAUCCCGACUUCGGAAGGGAUGUAUUUAUUAGAUACAAAACCAAUGCCCCUCGGGGCUCUCUGGUGAUUCAUGAUAACUCGUCGAAUCGCACGGCCUUGCGCCGGCGAUGGUUCAUUCAAAUUUCUUCCCUAUCAACUUUCGAUGUUUGGGUAGUGGCCAAACAUGGUGGCAACGGGUAACGGAGGGUUAGGGCUCGACCCCGGAGAAGGAGCCUGAGAAACGGCUACUACAUCCAAGGAAGGCAGCAGGCGCGCAAAUUACCCAAUCCCGAUACGGGGAGGUAGUGACAAUAAAUACUGAUACAGGGCUCUUUUGGGUCUUGUAAUUGGAAUGAGUACAAUUUAAAUCCCUUAACGAGGAACAAUUGGAGGGCAAGUCUGGUGCCAGCAGCCGCGGUAAUUCCAGCUCCAAUAGCGUAUAUUAAAGUUGUUGUGGUUAAAAAGCUCGUAGUUGAAUCUUGGGCCUGGCUGGCCGGUCCGCCUCACCGCGUGUACUGGUCCGGCCGGGUCUUUCACUCUGCGGAACCACAUGCCCUUCAGUGGGUGUGGCGGGGAAGCAGGACUUUUACUUUGAAAAAAUUAGAGUGCUCUAAGCAGGCCAAUGCUCGAAUACAUUAGCAUGGAAUAAUAAAAUAGGACGCGCGGUUCUAUUUUGUUGGUUUCUAGGACCGCCGUAAUGAUGAAUAGGGACAGUCGGGGGCAUCAGUAUUCAGUUGUCAGAGGUGAAAUUCUUGGAUCUACUGAAGACUAACUACUGCGAAAGCAUUUGCCAAGGAUGUUUUCAUUAAUCAGGAACGAAAGUUAGGGGAUCGAAGACGAUCAGAUACCGUCGUAGUCUUAACCAUAAACUAUGCCGACUAGGGAUCGGACGAUGUUAUUUAGUUGACUCGUUCGGCACCUUACGAAAAAUCAAAGGGCUUGGGCUCCAGGGGGAGUAUGGUCGCAAGGCUGAAACUUAAAGGAAAUUGACGGAAG
rnacentral:rRNA from 1 species